rnacentral:rRNA from 1 species
CUCCCGUUGAUCCUGCCGGACUUGACUGCUAUCGGAUUGGUACUAAGCCAUGCGAGUCAUUGUAGCAAUACAAGGCGGACGGCUCAGUAACACGUAGUCAACCUAACUCGUGGACGUGGAUAACCUCGGGAAACUGAGAAUAAACCACGAUAGAUCAUAGUGCCUGGAAUGGCUUAUGGUCCAAACAGUUUACUGCCAUGGGAUGGGACUGCGGCCUAUCAGCUUGUUGGUGAGGUAAUGGCCCACCAAGGCGAUUACAGGUACGGGCUCUGAGAGGAGAAGCCCGGAGAUGGGUACUGAGACACGGACCCAGGCCCUAUGGGGCGCAGCAGGCGAGAAACCUUAGCAAUGUGCGAAAGCACGACUGGGUCAGUCCGAGUGAUUCCUGAUAAAGGAGUCUUUUGCCUGUCCUAAAAGCACAGGUGAAUAAGGGGUGGGCAAGUCUGGUGUCAGCCGCCGCGGUAAUACCAGCACCUCGAGUGGUCAGGACGUUUAUUGGGCCUAAAGCAUCCGUAGCCGGCUUUGCAAGUCUUCGGUUAAAUCCACCUGCUCAACAGAUGGGCCGCUGGAGAUACUACAGAGCUAGGGAGUGGGAGAGGCAGACGGUAUUCAGUGGGUAGGGGUAAAAUCCUCUGAUCCACUGAAGACCACCAGUGGCGAAGGCGGCUUGCCAGAACGCGCUCGACGGUGAGGGAUGAAAGCUGGGGGAGCAAACCGGAUUAGAUACCCGGGUAGUCCCAGCUGUAAACGAUGCAGACUCGGUGAUGGGUUGGCUUUGAGCCAACCCAGUGCCGCAGGGAAGCCGUUAAGUCUGCCACCUGGGGCGUACGGUCGCAAGACUGAAACUUAAAGGAAUAAGCGGGGGAGCA